ACACAUUCAAGUCGAACGGGGCAGCAAUGCCUAGUGGCGGACGGGUGAGUAACGCGUGAGCAACCUGCCCUUGCGUGGGGGAUACCAUCUGGAAACGGAUGUUAAUACCGCAUAAAGUACAGGCGACCGCAUGGUCGUAGUACCAAAGAUUUAUUGCGCAAGGAUGGGCUCGCGUCCCAUUAGAUAGUUGGUGAGGUAACGGCCCACCAAGUCAGCGAUGGGUAGCCGGACUGAGAGGUUGAACGGCCACAUUGGAACUGAGAUACGGUCCAGACUCCUACGGGAGGCAGCAGUGGGGAAUAUUGGGCAAUGGGCGAAAGCCUGACCCAGCGACGCCGCGUGAAGGAAGAAGGUCUUCGGAUUGUAAACUUCUGUUAUGGGGGACGAACACAUGACGGUACCCCAUGAGAAAGCCACGGCUAACUACGUGCCAGCAGCCGCGGUAAUACGUAGGUGGCGAGCGUUAUCCGGAUUUACUGGGUGUAAAGGGUGUGUA
rnacentral:rRNA from 1 species